GACAGCAUGGCAUAGUGGCUUUUGUUUUUGACUAUGACUCUGGAGACCAGGGUCCGAUUCCCAGCUCAGUCA